GAUGAACGCUGGCGGCGCGCUUAACACAUGCAAGUCGAGCGGGAACCAGGGCUUCGGCCCUGGGGAAAGCGGCGAACGGGUGAGUAACACGUGGGUAAUCUGCCCUCGGUUUCGGGAUAGCCCGGGGAAACCCGGAUUAAUACCGAAUGGCCCUUCAGCUCUUCGGGGCGGAAGGAAAAGGUAGCUUCGGCCUCCGACCGAGGAUGAGCCCGCGGCGGAUUAGCUUGUUGGUGGGGUAACGGCCUACCAAGGCGGCGAUCCGUAGCUGGUCUGAGAGGACGAGCAGCCACACGGGGACUGAGACACGGACCAGACUUCUACGGAAGGCAGGAGUGGGGAAUCUUGCGCAAUGGGCGAAAGCCUGACGCGGCGACGCCGCGUGCGGGAAGAAGGCCUUCGGGUUGUAAACCGCUUUCAGGAGGGACGAAGCCACUCGGGUUAAUAGCCCAGAGGGUGACGGUACUUCCAGAAGAAGUCCCGGCUAACUACGUGCCAGCCGCCGCCGUAACAC
rnacentral:rRNA from 1 species